GAUGAACGCUGGCGGUAUGCCUAACACAUGCAAGUUGUACGAGAGUUUUUAACUCUAGUGGCGGACGGGUGAGUAACACGUGAGAAUUUGCCUUUAGGAGGGGGACAACAAUUGGAAACGAAUGCUAAUACCCCAUAUGCUUUCGAGUGAAAUGGAUUUUAUCCGCCUAGAGAGAAGCUCGCGGCUGAUUAGCUUGUUGGUAAGGUAAGAGCUUACCAAGGCGACGAUCAGUAUCUGGUUUGAGAGGACGAUCAGACACACUGGAACUGAGACACGGUCCAGACUCCUACGGGAGGCAGCAGUGGGGAAUUUUCCGCAAUGGGCGAAAGCCUGACGGAGCAAUACCGCGUGAGGGAAGAAUGCCUAUGGGUUGUAAACCUCUUUUUCAGGGAGGAAUAAAAUGACGUGUACCUGAAGAAUAAGCAUCGGCUAACUCCGUG
rnacentral:rRNA from 1 species